UGCAGUCGAGCGGACAGAAGGGAGCUUGCUCCCGGAUGUUAGCGGCGGACGGGUGAGUAACACGUGGGUAACCUGCCUGUAAGACUGGGAUAACUCCGGGAAACCGGAGCUAAUACCGGAUAGUUCCUUGAACCGCAUGGUUCAAGGAUGAAAGACGGUUUCGGCUGUCACUUACAGAUGGACCCGCGGCGCAUUAGCUAGUUGGUGAGGUAACGGCUCACCAAGGCGACGAUGCGUAGCCGACCUGAGAGGGUGAUCGGCCACACUGGGACUGAGACACGGCCCAGACUCCUACGGGAGGCAGCAGUAGGGAAUCUUCCGCAAUGGACGAAAGUCUGACGGAGCAACGCCGCGUGAGUGAUGAAGGUUUUCGGAUCGUAAAGCUCUGUUGUUAGGGAAGAACAAGUGCAAGAGUAACUGCUUGCACCUUGACGGUACCUAACCAGAAAGCCACGGCUAACUACGUGCCAGCAGCCGCGGUAAUACGUAGGUGGCAAGCGUUGUCCGGAAUUAUUGGGCGUAAAGGGCUCGCAGGCGGUUUCUUAAGUCUGAUGUGAAAGCCCCCGGCUCAACCGGGGAGGGUCAUUGGAAACUGGGAAACUUGAGUGCAGAAGAGGAGAGUGGAAUUCCACGUGUAGCGGUGAAAUGCGUAGAGAUGUGGAGGAACACCAGUGGCGAAGGCGACUCUCUGGUCUGUAACUGACGCUGAGGAGCGAAAGCGUGGGGA
rnacentral:rRNA from 1 species